UAAGUUGAAUUGCAUAGAAACGGGUUUAAUGAAUUUUGACCUCGAUAAUGCACUUUUGCAGGAUAGGAGUCCUAAUGCGAAAUUGACUGCGUACAAACCAAAUUGAGGGUAAAAGAAACGCGUUGGCGAAGUCGGUUCGGUAAUCCGUCGAGCCUACGCAAAGAUAUCGCCGAAAAGACGUUUUCGGCAUCAAUUGGCACGAGCGCGGGUCGCGGUUCUCGGGAAAGUGCGGGAUGUGGAUUUCUCGCGUUCAGCCGAAAUACAAGUGUGGACUGAUUGUGCAGUGAGCAAGCAAUUUAGCAUCUGAUUAAGUGGCCGAAAUGAUGAGGAGGGCCAUUUGAAGCUGUGAACUAGUUGAUCCAGCAUCUAAUGAAGAAGAGGAUCAGUUGAUGCAGUGAACAAGUUUAUUCAACAUCAACUUACAAGUUGAAGCUGAAGUUGCAAUCCUUGUGGAACUUGGUGAAUUGCUGAAGCAGGGAGCCAGAAAUCAGCAAAGGAAAUCUGAAUUUGAGGUCGACGACGCGCUAAUUACGGUAGAAGCCGUUCUAGUUCUAUUUACACCGAGACGCGCAAGAUUGUUCUUGACACAGUUCGAAACGUGGAUUCUAGUUG